AUUUGCUUCUAUGUGGACGAUCUCCCCGCAGACCUCUGAGUCAUGGACCAAGGAAGUGAAACAGCAUAGAGAUGCUUGCCAAUAAACGUGAUCACCUGAAUUCAAUUCUGGAACCCACAAGGUGAAGGAGAGAACCGACUCUCAGAGCUUGUCCACAGCAUGUGCACAUGUGUAAAAAUCAAAAGUAGACUCACUUCUUGAGGAAUAAUCAAUACCACUGUUUGUGUAUUGUGUGGAAGACACUUUGUUAGAGUGGCUGAUGUGACAUCCAUCACUCGGUCCUGAGAACAACCAAAAGGCAAGGUUGUCCACCUUUGAAGGGAGUAGUAAUCAGAGAGGAUAUCUCUGGCUCUAACUGUGCUUCAGGGUCCUGUACAAUGAGUUUUUGGCUCUCCCUUGAGUUAGCAAAGAAGGGAAAAAUGAAGUAAAA
rnacentral:lncRNA from 1 species